rnacentral:rRNA from 1 species
CCUACGGGAGGCAGCAGUGAGGAAUAUUGGUCAAUGGACGAGAGUCUGAACCAGCCAAGUAGCGUGCAGGAUGACUGCCCUAUGGGUUGUAAACUUCUUUUAUAAAGGAAUAAAACGAGGCACGUGUGCCUUUUUGCAUGUACUUUAUGAAUAAGGAUCGGCUAACUCCGUGCCAGCAGCCGCGGUAAUACGGAGGAUCCGAGCGUUAUCCGGAUUUAUUGGGUUUAAAGGGAGCGUAGAUGGGUUGUUAAGUCAGUUGUGAAAGUUUGCGGCUCAACCGUAAAAUUGCAAUUGAUACUGGCAGUCUUGAGUGCAGUUGAGGUAGGCGGAAUGCGUGGUGUAGCGGUGAAAUGCUUAGAGAUCACGAAGAACCCCGAUUGCGAAGGCAGCUUACUAAGCUGUGACUGACAUUGAGGCUCGAAAGUGUGGGUAGCAAACAGGAUUAGAUACCCCUGUAGUC